AUAUCAAUAAGCGGAGGAAAAGAAACCAACAGGGAUUGCCUUAGUAACGGCGAGUGAAGCGGCAACAGCUCAAAUUUGAAAUCUGCCUCUAGGCCGAGUUGUAAUUUGUAGAGGAUGCUUUUGGUGCGGCGCCUUCUGAGUUCCCUGGAACGGGACGCCAUAGAGGGUGAGAGCCCCGUAUAGAUGGACGCCUAGCCUCUGUAAAGCUCCUUCGACGAGUCGAGUUGUUUGGGAAUGCAGCUCAAAAUGGGUGGUGAAUUCCAUCUAAAGCUAAAUAUUGGCGAGAGACCGAUAGCGCACAAGUA
rnacentral:rRNA from 1 species